GCUCUUUGAGUCUUGCAGUUGGAAUGAGUACAAUUUAAACCCCUUAACGAGUAACAAUUGGAGGGCAAGUCUGGUGCCAGCAGCCGCGGUAAUUCCAGCUCCAAUAGCGUAUAUUAAAGUUGUUGCAGUUAAAAAGCUCGUAGUUGGACUUUAGGCAAGGCGGUCUGGUCGCCCACUGGGUGUACUGGGCUCGCCGCGCCUCACCUUCGGGGAACUAGUUGUGCUUCGGUGCGCUAGGGAACCGAGCCUUA
rnacentral:rRNA from 1 species